rnacentral:tRNA from 1 species
AGGAAUAGCUGAGUGGUAGGGCACGUGCUUAGCAUGCACAAGGUCCUGGGUUCAAUUCACAGUACCU